AUGUUUUCGCUAACUUGCCAAUUUAGCACACCGUCAACAAAUUUAACAGAAAUAUAUAGACCCCUGGAUUUGAACCCAGGUUGCUUGGUCAAAUGACAAGUUAUUUUACCACUGGGCUACUGGCACUUUCAAUGUACUUACUAACAUGUUUACUUUUAUUUGGUAUAUAUUAAAUAUAAAUUUUUUUAAAAAAAUUUAA
rnacentral:lncRNA from 1 species